rnacentral:rRNA from 1 species
CGUGAGGGAAAGGCGAAAAGAACCCCGGCGAGGGGAGUGAAAAAGAACCUGAAACCGUGUACGUACAAGCAGUGGGAGCACGCUUCGGCGUGUGACUGCGUACCUUUUGUAUAAUGGGUCAGCGACUUAUAUUCUGUAGCAAGGUUAACCGAAUAGGGGAGCCGAAGGGAAACCGAGUCUUAACUGGGCGUUAAGUUGCAGGGUAUAGACCCGAAACCCGGUGAUCUAGCCAUGGGCAGGUUGAAGGUUGGGUAACACUAACUGGAGGACCGAACCGACUAAUGUUGAAAAAUUAGCGGAUGACUUGUGGCUGGGGGUGAAAGGCCAAUCAAACCGGGAGAUAGCUGGUUCUCCCCGAAAGCUAUUUAGGUAGCGCCUCGUGAAUUCAUCUCCGGGGGUAGAGCACUGUUUCGGCAAGGGGGUCAUCCCGACUUACCAACCCGAUGCAAACUGCGAAUACCGGAGAAUGUUAUCACGGGAGACACACGGCGGGUGCUAACGUCCGUCGUGAAGAGGGAAACAACCCAGACCGCCAGCUAAGGUCCCAAAGUCAUGGUUAAGUGGGAAACGAUGUGGGAAGGCCCAGACAGCCAGGAUGUUGGCUUAGAAGCAGCCAUCAUUUAAAGAAAGCGUAAUAGCUCACUGGUCGAGUCGGCCUGCGCGGAAGAUGUAACGGGGCUAAACCAUGCACCGAAGCUGCGGCAGCGACACUAUGUGUUGUUGGGUAGGGGAGCGUUCUGUAAGCCUGUGAAGGUGUGCUGUGAGGCAUGCUGGAGGUAUCAGAAGUGCGAAUGCUGACAUAAGUAACGAUAAAGCGGGUGAAAAGCCCGCUCGCCGGAAGACCAAGGGUUCCUGUCCAACGUUAAUCGGGGCAGGGUGAGUCGACCCCUAAGGCGAGGCCGAAAGGCGUAGUCGAUGGGAAACAGGUUAAUAUUCCUGUACUUGGUGUUACUGCGAAGGGGGGACGGAGAAGGCUAUGUUGGCCGGGCGACGGUUGUCCCGGUUUAAGCGUGUAGGCUGGUUUUCCAGGCAAAUCCGGAAAAUCAAGGCUGAGGCGUGAUGACGAGGCACUACGGUGCUGAAGCAACAAAUGCCCUGCUUCCAGGAAAAGCCUCUAAGCAUCAGGUAACAUCAAAUCGUACCCCAAACCGACACAGGUGGUCAGGUAGAGAAUACCAAGGCGCUUGAGAGAACUCGGGUGAAGGAACUAGGCAAAAUGGUGCCGUAACUUCGGGAGAAGGCACGCUGAUAUGUAGGUGAAGCGACUUGCUCGUGGAGCUGAAAUCAGUCGAAGAUACCAGCUGGCUGCAACUGUUUAUUAAAAACACAGCACUGUGCAAACACGAAAGUGGACGUAUACGGUGUGACGCCUGCCCGGUGCCGGAAGGUUAAUUGAUGGGGUUAGCGCAAGCGAAGCUCUUGAUCGAAGCCCCGGUAAACGGCGGCCGUAACUAUAACGGUCCUAAGGUAGCGAAAUUCCUUGUCGGGUAAGUUCCGACCUGCACGAAUGGCGUAAUGAUGGCCAGGCUGUCUCCACCCGAGACUCAGUGAAAUUGAACUCGCUGUGAAGAUGCAGUGUACCCGCGGCAAGACGGAAAGACCCCGUGAACCUUUACUAUAGCUUGACACUGAACAUUGAGCCUUGAUGUGUAGGAUAGGUGGGAGGCUUUGAAGUGUGGACGCCAGUCUGCAUGGAGCCGACCUUGAAAUACCACCCUUUAAUGUUUGAUGUUCUAACGUGGACCCGUAAUCCGGGUUGCGGACAGUGUCUGGUGGGUAGUUUGACUGGGGCGGUCUCCUCCUAAAGAGUAACGGAGGAGCACGAAGGUUGGCUAAUCCUGGUCGGACAUCAGGAGGUUAGUGCAAUGGCAUAAGCCAGCUUGACUGCGAGCGUGACGGCGCGAGCAGGUGCGAAAGCAGGUCAUAGUGAUCCGGUGGUUCUGAAUGGAAGGGCCAUCGCUCAACGGAUAAAAGGUACUCCGGGGAUAACAGGCUGAUACCGCCCAAGAGUUCAUAUCGACGGCGGUGUUUGGCACCUCGAUGUCGGCUCAUCACAUCCUGGGGCUGAAGUAGGUCCCAAGGGUAUGGCUGUUCGCCAUUUAAAGUGGUACGCGAGCUGGGUUUAGAACGUCGUGAGACAGUUCGGUCCCUAUCUGCCGUGGGCGCUGGAGAACUGAGGGGGGCUGCUCCUAGUACGAGAGGACCGGAGUGGACGCAUCACUGGUGUUCGGGUUGUCAUGCCAAUGGCACUGCCCGGUAGCUAAAUGCGGAAGAGAUAAGUGCUGAAAGCAUCUAAGCACGAAACUUGCCCCGAGAUGAGUUCUCCCUGACCCUUUAAGGGUCCUGAAGGAACGUUGAAGACGACGACGUUGAUAGGCCGGGUGUGUAAGCGCAGCGAUGCGUUGAGCUAACCGGUACUAAUGAACCGUGAGGCUUAACCUUACAAC